AAGGGAGAGGAAUAAGUAGAAAUCUACCCUCGGGACGGGGAUAGCGGCGGGAAACUGCCAGUAAUACCCGAUAACGUCCUUGGACCAAAGGUGUGAUUCCGCCUGAGGAUGAGUCUACUUCCUAUUAGCUAGUUGGUGGGGUAAUGGCCUACCAAGGCAACGAUGGGUAGCAGGUGUGAGAGCACGACCUGCCUCAUUGGGACUGAGACACUGCCCAGACACCUACGGGUGGCUGCAGUCGAGAAUCUUCGGCAAUGGACGAAAGUCUGACCGAGCGACGCCGCGUGCGGGAUGAAGGCCUUCGGGUUGUAAACCGCUGUCGUAGGGGAACAAGUUUACGGGGGUUAUCCCCUGUAAUUGAGUGAUCCUAGGAGGAAGGAGAGGCUAAGCUCGUGCCAGCAGCCGCGGUAAGACGAGCUCUCCAAACGUUAUUCGGUAUCACUGGGCUUAAAGAGUUCGUAGGCGGUUUGGUAGGUGAGGUGUGAAAUCCCCCGGCUCAACCGGGGAACUGCGCUUCAAACCACUAGACUUGAGGGAGACAGAGGUGGGCGGAACAGAUGGUGGAGCGGUGAAAUGCGUUGA
rnacentral:rRNA from 1 species